GAUGAACGCUGGCGGCAUGCCUAACACAUGCAAGUCGAUCGGUAAGGCUCUUCGGAGUACACGAGAGGCGGACGGCUGAGUAACGCGUAGGAACACACCCUGCAGUGAGGGAUAAGACACCGAAAGGUGUUCUAAUACCGCAUACGGUCUUCGGAUUAAAGCAUUUAUGCGCUGAAGGAGUGGCCUGCGUCAUAUUUGAUAGUUGGUGAGGUAAUGGCUCACCAAGUCGAUGAUGUGUAGCUGGUCUGAGAGGAUGAUCAGCCAGACUGGAACUGAGACACGGUCCAGACUCCUACGGGAGGCAGCAGUGAGGAAUAUUUCACAAUGAGCGAAAGCUUGAUGGAGCAAUGCCGCGUGCAGGAUGAAGGCCCUCGGGUUGUAAACUGCUUUUAUAAGAGAAGAUUAUGACGGUAACUUAUGAAUAAGGGACGGCUAACUACGUG
rnacentral:rRNA from 1 species